UUUCAAGCAGAAGACGGCAUACGAGAUGUGACUGGAGUUCAGACGUGUGCUCUUCCGAUCUCUCCACCCAGACUCAUCCAUUGCUUCACAAAUAGAGAGUUUCUGUUGGUGCUGACAUCGCUCAGGUGGGCGGGUAGAGAAUACCGAGGCGUUUGAGAGAACCGUGGUUAAGGAACUCGGCAAAUUGACACCGUAACUUCGGGAUAAGGUGUGCCACUGAGGGUGAAGAGCCUUGCGCUCGUAAGCCUUCGGGGGUUGCAACAAAGAGGCGGUAGCGACUGUUUACCAAAAACACAGGCCUGUGCGAAGCCGUAAGGCGACGUAUACGGGUUGACGCCUGCCCGGUGCCGGAAGGUUAAGGGGAGUGGUCAGCGAAAGCGAAGCUGCGAACCGAAGCCCCGGUAAACGGCGGCCGUAACAAUAACGGUCCUAAGGUAGCGAAAUUCCUUGUCGGGUAAGUUCCGACCUGCACGAAUGGCGUAACGACUUCCGCGCUGUCUCGAUCACGGUCUCAGCGAAAUUGACAUUGGGGUGAAGAUGCCCCAUACCCGCAGCAAGACGGAAAGACCCUGUGAACCUUUACUCUAACUUGGCAGCGACAUUCGGUUCAGCUUGUGUAGGAUAGGUGGGAGACGAUGAAGCGGGGGCGCCAGCCUUCGUGGAGUCAACGUUGAAAUACCACCCUGGUUGUGCUGGAUGUCUAACCCGGCCCUUGUGGCGGGGACACUGCCUGGCGGGGAGUUUGACUGGGGCGGUCGCCUCCCAAACAGUAACGGAGGCGCGCAAAGAUUCCCUCAGCGUGAUCGGAAACCACGCGCAGAGUGCAAAGGCAGAAGGGAGUUUGACUGCAAGAUCGACAGAUCGAGCAGGUGCGAAAGCAGGCCUUAGUGAUCCGGCGGUCCCACAUGGGAGGGCCGUCGCUCAUCGGAUAAAAGGUACUCCGGGGAUAACAGGCUUAUCACGCCCAAGAGUUCACAUCGACGGCGUGGUUUGGCACCUCGAUGUCGGCUCAUCGCAUCCUGGGGCUGGAGCAGGUCCCAAGGGUUUGGCUGUUCGCCAAUUAAAGCGGUACGCGAGCUGGGUUCAAAACGUCGUGAGACAGUUUGGUCCCUAUCUGCUGUGGGCGCAGGAGAGUUGAGAGACGCUGUCCUUAGUACGAGAGGACCGGGAUGGACGUUCCUCUGGUGUUCCGGUUGUCGCGCCAGCGGCAUAGCCGGAUAACCAUGAACGGAAGGGAUAACCGCUGAAAGCAUCUAAGUGGGAAGCCCAUCUCCAGAUAAACUCUCCCUUGAGGGCCCAGAAAGACAUCUGGUUGAUAGGCGGGGCGUAUAAACGCAGCAAUGCGUGCGCGGACCCGUACUAAUCGCCCGAACGACUUGACCCU
rnacentral:rRNA from 1 species